rnacentral:rRNA from 1 species
UACGUAUGGUGCAAGCGUUGUCCGGAAUUAUUGGGCGUAAAGAGCUCGUAGGCGGUUUGUCGCGUCUGCUGUGAAAACUCGGGGCUUAACUCCGGGCCUGCAGUGGGUACGGGCAGACUAGAGUGCGGUAGGGGAGACUGGAAUUCCUGGUGUAGCGGUGAAAUGCGCAGAUAUCAGGAGGAACACCGGUGGCGAAGGCGGGUCUCUGGGCCGUAACUGACGCUGAGGAGCGAAAGCGUGGGGAGCGAACAGG